CCUACGGGGGGCAGCAGUGAGGAAUAUUGGUCAAUGGGCUUACGCCUGAACCAGCCAAGUCGCGUGAGGGAAGACUGCCCUAUGGGUUGUAAACCUCUUUUGUCAGGGAGCAAUUGGCGCUACGUGUAGCGUUAUCGAGAGUACCUGAAGAAAAAGCAUCGGCUAACUCCGUGCCAGCAGCCGCGGUAAUACGGAGGAUGCGAGCGUUAUCCGGAUUUACUGGGUGUAAAGGGCGUGUAGCCGGGUUGACAAGUCAGAUGUGAAAUCCUGCGGCUUAACCGCAGAACUGCAUUUGAAACUGUUGAUCUUGAGUACUGGAGAGGCAGACGGAAUUCCUAGUGUAGCGGUGAAAUGCGUAGAUAUUAGGAGGAACACCAGUGGCGAAGGCGGUCUGCUGGACAGCAACUGACGGUGAGGCGCGAAAGCGUGGGGAGCAAACAGGAUUAGAUACCCCUGUAGUC
rnacentral:rRNA from 1 species